rnacentral:rRNA from 1 species
CUCCUACGGGAGGCAGCAGUGGGGAAUAUUGCACAAUGGGGGAAACCCUGAUGCAGCCAUGCCGCGUGUGUGAAGAAGGCCUUCGGGUUGUAAAGCACUUUCAGUAGGGAGGAAAGGGUGAGUCUUAAUACGGCUCAUCUGUGACGUUACCUACAGAAGAAGGACCGGCUAACUCCGUGCCAGCAGCCGCGGUAAUACGGAGGGUCCGAGCGUUAAUCGGAAUUACUGGGCGUAAAGCGUGCGCAGGCGGUUUGUUAAGCGAGAUGUGAAAGCCCUGGGCUCAACCUAGGAAUAGCAUUUCGAACUGGCGAACUAGAGUCUUGUAGAGGGGGGUAGAAUUCCAGGUGUAGCGGUGAAAUGCGUAGAGAUCUGGAGGAAUACCGGUGGCGAAGGCGGCCCCCUGGACAAAGACUGACGCUCAUGCACGAAAGCGUGGGGAGCAAACAGGAUUAGAUACCCUGGUAGUCCACGCCGUAAACGAUGUCUACUCGGAGUUUGGUGUCUUGAACACUGGGCUCUCAAGCUAACGCAUUAAGUAGACCGCCUGGGGAGUACGGCCGCAAGGUUAAAACUCAAAUGAAUUGACGGGGGCCCGCACAAGCGGUGGAGCAUGUGGUUUAAUUCGAUGCAACGCGAAGAACC